AAAAACACACAAUUUAACUAUUUAAUUUAAUAAUCAAAAGACAAGAAAUAAAUAGAGAUAAGAGAAGAGAUAUCAGACAGAGAUAUAUCUUGGUUCACCCAACCCGAGUUACGUCUAAUUCUCACAACCGUAUGAUUCUUCACUAAGUGUUCAAAAUGGAGAACUUCUUGAUUUUUACACCACCAGUCCAGAUCAAUCUUGAUCUGUUAUAAUCUUCACCUUUCAACCUAGAAAGGAUUUUUACAAUCACCUUUCAACCUUAAAAGAAUUUUUACAAACACACUCAAUCUAACAUAAAAGAUAGACUUGAGUUACAAAUGAUGUGUAUGAUAAAAAUGUUUGAGAUUUUGAAACUUCUCAACACUUGUCUGAGAUAAAUGAAAGACAAACUCAGUAAAUAGUGAUCCAAAUAUAUAGUAAAAAGAGUUGGAGUUUGCUUGAAGAGUUAGCACAACUUCAUAACACAAGAAAUUGGAGUUGCACUAAACGGUCUAAACUCAACUCGCUAGAAAACGCAGUCCAUUGGAGUUGGUCGCCGGAAUCUAGCAACCGUGGACACACAAUCAGAUGAUUGUAUAAACAACAUUAAAGAUAUAAGACAACAACUCAAAGCUCAAAGUGAAUCCCAACGCAACUCUCACAUGGAUAUGCUUGCUUCUGUUCAAUCCAUUAUUCCCAAUCUCGUUUCUUCUUUUGACCUGUCGCUCAAAGUUCUUUCUUCGUGAGAUUUAUUAAUUUUCUGAAUUUGUUCAUUUUUUAUGUGAAGGAAUGCAGCGAUGUUGAUGAUUGAAUUGAUCUGUUGAUGUAGUGAAUCAGAGUGUUAACAACGGUUUUACUAUUUGAUUUUUUGUAUGGUGAAUCUGUGUUUAUGCUUUUUGGAGUUUUACUUUGAUUUUUGAUGUAAGGUUGGAUAUGCAAGAGUAUCGAUGUUAAAAUUUUAAUUAUAAUGAAUACAGGAGGUAGCUUGAUAUUGUUCUUCAUGGUGUCUUGGUGAUUGUUUCUUAGGACAUAUUUUGAGAUGAGAAGAGAGUGGGAUUUGUGCAAUGAAAGGGAGAGGAAAGUGAUGAGAUGUGGAGCAUAGGAUUUAGAUAGAUGAUUUU
rnacentral:lncRNA from 1 species